GUAGACGUGAGGACCGAGAACAAAAGUAGGAGCAAGAGGUUUAAAGUGCAUCUACAUUGCCUUUUAUGGAACUAAUACCUAUGAAACCAAAGUGAGUCGUUACACUUAAUUGCCAACAGACCCCACCUCGUGUGAAACAAUCUGCAAUGCUAGGCAAUGUGAUAUUAUUGAUUACUGGCAUGCUGGUGAUCAGUGACAGCCUGCUGAGAAUGAUGUAAGAGAUGGCUCAGCCUGCCCAGAAUCUAUGGGAAAGGUGCAAGACCUUUCACGCAUCAGUACAAAACUUCUUUAUUUUAUUAAAAUACAAAAAUUAGCUUCUUGUUAAGAUCAUGCCCUCAUCCUUUAAAUUAUUAAAGGUUUACAUUUGGCAGGAUUAAUGUGUUUGGUAGUAAAAUAUUUUUAUAUAUCAAUUUUUGAGCACUACUGGAAAACAUCAGCAAAAUUGAAUUGCAUGGUCAUUCAGUGCAACCAUAAAAUUUUUAUUCACUUUGUACUAGAAUGGACAAAGAACACGAAGGUUUAUAUGUUAAAGUAACAAAAUGAUACAGGGUAAAUUAUAUACACAUAUGUAUGAAUGUAUAUAUCUAUAUAUUUAGAUUAAGGAGAAAGUCAUUGACAUUCCUGUAAUAUAAAGGUACAGGGUGAGGUAACCAUGACCUUUUUCCUCUGUACAUAGUUAAGCUCAAGUAUGGAGUUUUAAUCUGUACAGAAAGAAUUGUAUUAUGGUCUUUUGCUGCUGAGAAAAUAGGACAAUAGCUGAUACUUUUCACUGUAUGACCAGGGAAGAAUUAGAGUAUUUCUUUUGUCUUUGCUCAAAGCCAUACAUAUAUAAAUAUAUAUUAAGAUUAUUAAUAAAUCCAAAAGAAAAUAAACCAAAUUAUGAAUAUUUUAUUUUGUUGUUGAACUCUAAUCAAAUGUUUAACUCACUGAGGAGUACAGAUUUGCCUGUCUUUCCAAUCUUUGUAUAAUCUCCAAACAGAUCUGUUCUUGAAAAUCACCGUACAAUUAUUAUAUUCUACAAGUUUAGAAUGAACAUAAUUUAAAUAGAAUAUAGAUUUCCAAGUC
rnacentral:lncRNA from 1 species